AAGUCGUAACAAGGUUUCCGUAGGUGAACCUGCGGAAGGAUCAUUGUCGAAUUCGAAGGGGAGAACGACCAGUGAACCGUCUUUGCGUAACGAACCAAGCACGCGUGCACAAAAGGUGGCGCGUGUAGCGAGGCGUCGGUGCGGGCCUUCUCGGGAGGGCCGCGCCGCGCCCUAAACUAUCAACGUCAGCACGGAUCGUGCCAAGUACUGCAUUGGCGAGAAUCGUCGUCCUCCCCCUCUUUGGGGGGCUGGGGACGUGCGCGAUCUCUGCUCUUAUAGUCUGAAUGACUCUCGGCAACGGAUAUCUCGGCUCUUGCAUCGAUGAAGAACGCAGCGAAAUGCGGUACUUGGUGUGAAUUGCAGAAUCCCGCGAACCAUCAACUCUUUGAAUGCAGAAUCCCGCGAACCAUCAAUUCUUUGAACGCAAGUUGCGCCCGAAGCCAUUCGGCCGAGGGCACGCCUGCCUGGGUGUCGUGAAUCCCCUUGCCCUUGGGCACCCCGCAGAGCAUUGGCGGGGAUAUACGCUCGGGCGCAGAAUAUGGUCUCCCGUGGGAUCGGCAUGCACGGCAUGUCGAGGUGCGGUUGGCCGAAAAUCGAGCAGGCGGUGACKGGCACCACGGCGUUGGGUGGAUCGAAUGAGAUUGGSUGCGUCGUGGGCUCGGCRUGCGGCGGGCUCCGGACUUUGAAUAUCCCCGAGUGCGAUCCCAGGUCAGGCGGGGCUACCCGCUGAGUUUAAGCAUAUCAAUAAGCGGAGGAAAAGAAACUAACGAGGAUUCCCUUAGUAGCGGCGAGCGAACCGGGAAGAGCCCAGCGUGAAAAUCGUCCGCCAUCGGCGGCCGAAUUGUAGUCUGGAGAAGCGUCCUCAGUGACGGACCGGACCCAAGUUCACUGGAAGGUGGCGCC
rnacentral:rRNA from 1 species